rnacentral:rRNA from 1 species
GGCUCAGGAUGAACGCUAGCGGCAGGCUUAACACAUGCAAGUCGAGGGGCAGCAUGACACGGAGAUUCGUCGAAGUGUUGAUGGCGACCGGCGCAAGGGUGCGUAACGCGUGAGCAACUUGCCCGUUUCUGGGGAAUAACCGGUGGAAACGCCGACUAAUACCCCAUAGUAUAACGAAGAGGCAUCUUUUUGUUAUUAAAGAACUUCGGAAACGGAUAGGCUCGCGUGACAUUAGCUAGAUGGCGGGUAACGGCCACCAUGGCGACGAUGUCUAGGGGUUCUGAGAGGAAGGUCCCCCACACUGGAACUGAGACACGGUCCAGACUCCUACGGGAGGCAGCAGUGAGGAAUAUUGGUCAAUGGUCUGACGACUGAACCAGCCAUGCCGCGUGAAGGUGACGGCCCUAUGGGUCUUAAACUUCUUUUGUAAGGGAGCAAUAAGUCUCACGUGUGGGAUGAUGAGAGUACCUUACGAAUAAGCAUCGGCUAACUCCGUG